rnacentral:tRNA from 1 species
GAUUAUUUAUCUAUAUAAAGAUUUUAUUUUGAAAAUAAAAGAAAGGUGUCUACCUAGUAGUCU